AGAUUAAAGUCACUCCACCUAAAUGCAUUGAGGAGCUGGAGGAGGAGCGUUUAGCCGUGAUCUGUGAAAACUGUGGCCGCAGCGACCGAAGGACCAGGAUGCUGCUUUGCUCCCACUGUGACUCUGGGUUUCAUAUGAACUGCCUAAGACCUGCAGUGAGUGAACGACCACAGGGCUCCUGGGUCUGUCCUGAAUGUGAAGUCACUCUGAACCAGCCUGAUGGUUUUGCUGCAGAGGAGGGCAUCAGUGAUGGAGAGCUGGAGGACAUUUUGUCUGAGGCCGAUGAGACAAGCAGCAGACUCCGCCCCUCCACUUUAAACAACAGCGGCUCAGGAUCAACACGACACAGUGAGAGGGUCCAGACCAGGUCUAACAGAGACCCCACUGCUCCUCUGUCUAUAACGCGGGUGCCUAAAUAUUUGUUACAGGUGUCAAGUUCCAAUACAACAACAGAUACUAUUCCUACUGCCAGUACAAGUGCCACAGAUGGAGAUUCGCUGACAAAGAUGAUCCAAUUUCCUGG
ensembl:lncRNA